rnacentral:lncRNA from 1 species
AAAAAGUGUCCAAAAAUUCUGGAAAUAUAGGAAAAAUAUAUAUAUUUAAUCUGAACCCAGGCUGGAGUGCAGUGGCUAUUCAGAGGCUCACUCAUUGUGCGCAUGGUGCUUAUGGUGCCUGGAAUAGCUGGCACUACAGGCAUGUGUUCUGUGCCAGCUCAAGUCUUCAAUUUUGCUUCAGAUCUUUAACUUUUUAAUUGUGAAAUAUAACUGUAUGCAGAAAACUGCAUAAAACACAAAGGUACUGAAUAACAAAUAAUUAUAAAGUGACAUCUGGGUCAAUAACUAGACCACAGUCAGACCCCUGAAGCUCCCUCUGUGUCUUGUCUAGUCACAUCCCCCUCCCCUUGCUCAAGAGGUUUUCAGUAAUCACAUCCUUUUUUUCUCUAUGGUUUUACCUCCUAGUUUUGGAAUCCAUAAGCAGUAUAUUUCAGCUUUGCAUGUUUUUGAACUCUGUUCAAAUGGAAUUUGUACAAAAUAAUAUGCUGUGCAUAUUAUUUCUUGCUUCUUUUACUUUAUAUCAUUAUGUAAGAUUCAUCCAUGUUAUUGCAGCUUAUUUCUUUUUUGCUUGUUUAUUUGUUUGUUUUUGUUUUUUUGAGACAGUCUCACUCUGUCACCUAGGCUAGAGUGCAGUGGCGCGAUCUCGGCUCACUACACCUCCACCUCCUGGGUUCAAACGAUUCUCCUGCCUCCGCCUCCCAGGUAGCUGGGACCAUAGGUGCACGCCACCAGGCCUGGCUAAUUUUUGUAUUUUUUAGUAGAGACAGGGUUUUGCCAUGUUGGUCAGGCUGGCCUCAAACUCCUGACUUCAGGUGAGCCACCCGCCUCAUACUGCAGCUUAUUUCUUCAUUGCUGAAUAAUAUUCCAUUAUAUGAGUAUACCCCCAGUUGUUUACCCAUUUUAUUGUCAUCUCAAGUUUUUGCCCAUUGCAAAUAACAUUGCUGUGAGUAGUCUUUUAUGUAUAUCCUAGUACAACUGGCACAAGUUCCUUCAGGUAUAUGCUGAAGAAGUAGAAUUGCUAGAUAAUAAGGCACGCAUACUUUAGGCUUUUGCCAAACCAUUUUUCAAAGUGGUUGUACUAACUUAUACUCCCACUAGCUAGUAGAAAGUCAACACUGGUUCACAUGAUUCCCAACAUUUGGUAUUAUCAGCCUUUUACAUUUUUGCCAAUCUAGUGGCUAUAUUGUGGCAUAUAUUUGUGGUUUUAAUUUGCACUUCCCUGAUUACUAGUAAAGUUAAAUGCCUUUUUAAAUGCUUACUGGCCUUUAGGGUUUCUGCUUUUGGGAAGUGUCUGUUCAAAUCUUUGACAUAUUUUUCCAUAGGGGCUAUCUGUCAUUUUUGUAAGAUUUGUAGGAGUUCUUUAUAUAUGCUAGAUAUGAGUUUAUAGGAUUACAAAGGAAAUCAAUUAUAUUGACAUAAUAGUUAUCAAAUAUAAAAAUGCAAGUAUGUGGGCUUAUUUAUUUAUACAAUAAAUAAGAUCUGGUGCAGGUGUAAUAACAACUAUAAUAUCAAAGUGAUUAUAAGCAUUGACAUUAUUUCAAGAUAUCUGCAACAAAAAUAUCUGGUUUCCACUUGUGACAACGCCACAGGUACUAUUAACAUUAUGUACUGUGGGCCAGGCGUGGUGGCUCACACCUGUAAUCCCAGCACUUUGGGAGGUCAAGGUGGGCAGAUCACGAGGUCAGGAAGUCGAGACCAUCCUGGCUAACACGGUGAAACCCCAUCUCUACUAAAAAUACAAAAAAUUAGCCGGGCGCGGUGGUGGGCGCCUGUAGUCCCAGCUACUCGGGAGGCUGAGGCAGGAAAAUGGUGUGAACCCAGGAGGCGGAGCUUGCAGUGAGCCGAGAUCGUGCCACUGCACUCCAGCCUGGGUGACAGAGUGAGACUCCCUCUC